CAGAAGCGCCGUGUGAGUCUGUUCACUUUUAGGUUACCAGUCUAUCCUUCCACAAAAACCAAAA